rnacentral:rRNA from 1 species
AAAUUGAAGAGUUUGAUCAUGGCUCAGAUUGAACGCUGGCGGCAGGCCUAACACAUGCAAGUCGAACGGUAACAGAAAGCAGCUUGCUGCUUUGCUGACGAGUGGCGGACGGGUGAGUAAUGUCUGGGAAACUGCCUGAUGGAGGGGGAUAACUACUGGAAACGGUAGCUAAUACCGCAUAACGUCGCAAGACCAAAGAGGGGGACCUUAGGGCCUCUUGCCAUCGGAUGUGCCCAGAUGGGAUUAGCUAGUAGGUGGGGUAACGGCUCACCUAGGCGACGAUCCCUAGCUGGUCUGAGAGGAUGACCAGCCACACUGGAACUGAGACACGGUCCAGACUCCUACGGGAGGCAGCAGUGGGGAAUAUUGCACAAUGGGCGCAAGCCUGAUGCAGCCAUGCCGCGUGUAUGAAGAAGGCCUUCGGGUUGUAAAGUACUUUCAGCGGGGAGGAAGGGAGUAAAGUUAAUACCUUUGCUCAUUGACGUUACCCGCAGAAGAAGCACCGGCUAACUCCGUGCCAGCAGCCGCGGUAAUACGGAGGGUGCAAGCGUUAAUCGGAAUUACUGGGCGUAAAGCGCACGCAGGCGGUUUGUUAAGUCAGAUGUGAAAUCCCCGGGCUCAACCUGGGAACUGCAUCUGAUACUGGCAAGCUUGAGUCUCGUAGAGGGGGUAGAAUUCCAGGUGUAGCGGUGAAAUGCGUAGAGAUCUGGAGGAAUACCGGUGGCGAAGGCGGCCCCCUGGACGAAGACUGACGCUCAGGUGCGAAAGCGUGGGGAGCAAACAGGAUUAGAUACCCUGGUAGUCCACGCCGUAAACGAUGUCGACUUGGAGGUUGUGCCCUUGAGGCGUGGCUUCCGGAGCUAACGCGUUAAGUCGACCGCCUGGGGAGUACGGCCGCAAGGUUAAAACUCAAAUGAAUUGACGGGGGCCCGCACAAGCGGUGGAGCAUGUGGUUUAAUUCGAUGCAACGCGAAGAACCUUACCUGGUCUUGACAUCCACGGAAGUUUUCAGAGAUGAGAAUGUGCCUUCGGGAACCGUGAGACAGGUGCUGCAUGGCUGUCGUCAGCUCGUGUUGUGAAAUGUUGGGUUAAGUCCCGCAACGAGCGCAACCCUUAUCCUUUGUUGCCAGCGGUCCGGCCGGGAACUCAAAGGAGACUGCCAGUGAUAAACUGGAGGAAGGUGGGGAUGACGUCAAGUCAUCAUGGCCCUUACGACCAGGGCUACACACGUGCUACAAUGGCGCAUACAAAGAGAAGCGACCUCGCGAGAGCAAGCGGACCUCAUAAAGUGCGUCGUAGUCCGGAUUGGAGUCUGCAACUCGACUCCAUGAAGUCGGAAUCGCUAGUAAUCGUGGAUCAGAAUGCCACGGUGAAUACGUUCCCGGGCCUUGUACACACCGCCCGUCACACCAUGGGAGUGGGUUGCAAAAGAAGUAGGUAGCUUAACCUUCGGGAGGGCGCUUACCACUUUGUGAUUCAUGACUGGGGUGAAGUCGUAACAAGGUAACCGUAGGGGAACCUGCGGUUGGAUCACCUCCUUA